GGAUGUGAGGUUAAUUUAGCUGUAACAUCUGACACCCCAUUGAUCGCUAGGGUUGAUUUGGAUGAUUUGACUGGCUAGGUGGGUGUCCCCUUUCUCCCUCACCACUCCUUGUGCAUCCCUCCCGAAGCUGCAUACUAGGUCGAAGAGUACCUUCCCAGAAUAGAGGAGGACCAGUCUUUGGUCAAGGGUGCAUGAGUAGCUGCACUCCCCUGCUAGACCCUCCAAACAAGUCCACUUCUUCUUUCAAUUCCUCAUUAUAUUUAUGAUUCUAUGUAUCUAUAAAAUCCAGGAUUUAGAAACAAAAUGUGUCUCUAAGACUU
rnacentral:snRNA from 1 species